GAUUAUUCUAUCAUCUGGCUGCUCAUAAAGGAAGAAUUGGUAGCGGUGGUACCCUGUGCCAGAUGGUGGGGUGGGUGGCCUGUACUCUGAGAGUAUUGUACCUUGAUAAAC